GGGUCAGUAGGUUGGUCGUGCCACCGGUACGUACUGGUCUCACUGAUUCCUCCUUCCUGAAGAACCGUAAUGCCAUUAAUUUGGUGUUGCGGGGAAACAGGACUGUUACUUUGAAAAAAUUAGAGUGUUUAAGGCAAGCUAACGCUUGAAUACAUUAGCAUAGAAUAAUGAAAUAGGACGAUCGAUCCUAUUUUGUUGGUUUCUAGGAUUGACGUA
rnacentral:rRNA from 1 species